AUUGAACGCUGGCGGCAGGCCUAACACAUGCAAGUCGAACGAGUGGCGGACGGGUGAGUAAUGUCUGGGACACUGCCUGAUGGAGGGGGAUAACUACUGGAAACGGUAGCUAAUACCGCAUACCAUCGGAUGUGCCCAGAUGGGAUUAGCUAGUAGUUGGGGUAACGGCUCACCUAGGCGACGAUCCCUAGCUGGUCUGAGAGGAUGACAAGCCACACUGGAACUGAGACACGGUCCAGCCUCCGACGGGAGGCAGCAGUGGUGAAUAUUGCACAAGGGGCGCAAGCCUGAUACAGCCAUGCCGCGUGUGUGAAGAAGGCCUUCGGGUUGUAAAGCACUUUCAGCGGGGAGGCGUUACCCGCAGAAGAAACACCGGCUAACUCGGUGCCAGCCGCCGCGGUAAUUC
rnacentral:rRNA from 1 species